rnacentral:rRNA from 1 species
ACGGGAGGCAGCAGUGAGGAAUAUUGGUCAAUGGUCGGAAGACUGAACCAGCCAUGCCGCGUGCAGGAAUAAGGCCCUAUGGGUCGUAAACUGCUUUUGUGGUGGAGCAAUAAGGCGUACGUGUACGUCGAUGAGAGUACAUCACGAAUAAGCAUCGGCUAACUCCGUGCCAGCAGCCGCGGUAAUACGGAGGAUGCAAGCGUUAUCCGGAUUUAUUGGGUUUAAAGGGUGCGUAGGCUGUGCAUCAAGUCAGCGGUGAAAGCCCGGGGCCUAACUCCGGAACUGCCGUUGAUACUGUUGUGCUUGAAUACGGAUGCCGUGGGAGGAAUGAGUAGUGUAGCGGUGAAAUGCAUAGAUAUUACUCAGAACACCGAUUGCGAAGGCAUCUCACGAAUCCGUUAUUGACGCUGAGGCACGAAAGCGUGGGGAUCAAACAGGAUUAGAUACCCUGGUA